AACGCACAUUGCGCCUCUUGGUAUUCCUUGAGGCAUAUUUGUUCGAGCGCCGUUUAACUCCUAAAGCUUUUGCUUUGUGUUGAAUUUUCUGAAUUUUAUUAUUCAGAUGUUCUAAAUGAGUUUGCCUAAUUGAAAAGCGAAAAGCAAUAAACUGCGAAAUCGUUAAUUAAUGAUGGCAUAUCAACGACCGCAUGGCCUCGAAUCAAAUAAGGCUACCCGCUGAACUUAA
rnacentral:misc_RNA from 1 species